AUGGAAAGGUUUCUAAAAAAGAGGAGAACCUCGGUGCAAGAUGAAAAUGUUGGUCCAUCACACGAAAAUAAUCAGAAUGAUGGCUCAGUCCCGACACAAUCGGAUAGACAAAUUGAUGCCUCAACACAUGAACAGAUUAAUGUUCCAACCCCGCCAUCAUCACAUGGACAAAAUGAUGCCUCCACACAUGAACCUAGUUCUGCUAAUACUACAAGAAAUUCCUUUGAAGUUGAAGAGCUCAAUUGGGAAGAAGAAAUUCAAUUUGAUCCAGGUAAAAGGAGAAGCAUAGAUGAGUACCAUCCAAAUCAGAGAGAUAUGGUAAGAAGGAAGUAUUUGGCCAAUGGCCCUUCUCAACCUCGUACUGCAGAUUUUGAAGUGACAGAAAUAUGUGGUAGAGAUAGAAGGUUCGUUCGGGAAUGGUUUGAUGAGUUUGGGAGCUGGACCGCGCAAGAAGAAAGAAGCUGGAUAUGAUGCAUUUGUUGCAAAUGGUUGGUCAAGUUGGAAUAAGAAAUAUAGAUUAAGGGAGCAUGUAGGAGACAUCAAUAGUGCUCACAACCAAGCAAAAAGAGAUUGUGAUGCUUUGCUGAAACAAAAG
rnacentral:rRNA from 1 species